rnacentral:misc_RNA from 1 species
AAAGAUUAAAGCUGAGAUUUUGGUGAAUGCUGAUGUUGAUUCUGUAUGGAAUGCUCUUACUGAUUAUGAAAGGCUUGCUGAUUUCGUCCCGAAUCUUGUUAGCAGUAGGAGAAUCCCUUGUCCACGUCCUGGGCGUAUUUGGUUGGAGCAAAGAGGUAUCCAACGAUCUCUCUAUUGGCACAUAGAAGCUCGCGUUGUAUUG